UGGAAGUAAAAGUCGUAACAAGGUCUCCGUUGGUGAACCAGCGGAGGGAUCAUUACUGAGUUACCGCUCUAUAACCCUUUGUGAACAUACCUAUACGUUGCUUCGGCGGCCGUCCCCCGGGGCGUCCGCCGGAGGAUAACCAAACUCUGAUUUAACGACGUUUCUUCUGAGUGGCACAAGCAAAUAAUCAAAACUUUUAACAACGGAUCUCUUGGUUCUGGCAUCGAUGAAGAACGCAGCGAAAUGCGAUAAGUAAUGUGAAUUGCAGAAUUCAGUGAAUCAUCGAAUCUUUGAACGCACAUUGCGCCCGCCAGCAUUCUGGCGGGCAUGCCUGUUCGAGCGUCAUUUCAACCCUCAAGCACUGCUUGGUGUUGGGGCUCUACGGUUGACGUAGGCCCCCAAAACUAGUGGCGGACCCUCUCGGAGCCUCCUUUGCGUAGUAACUUUUGUCUCGCACUGGGAUUCGGAGGGACUCUAGCCGUUAAACCCCCCAAUUUUUUAAAGGUGACCUCGGAUCAGGU
rnacentral:rRNA from 1 species